AAAAAUCCACGCGGUUGCGCGGGUCGAGAUCUAGUUGAAAAUUAAUUUAAGAAUAAGUUUAUAUUUGUACUUCAAUUUUCAUAAUAAAGAUUUCUUUGAAUAUUGGUUCCAUGUAAUAUUAUUUGCUACUCCUAAAAGUGGUUUCCAAAUCAGAAAAAUGAACAUAAAGUUAUUGAAGAAGUUUUAACCACUCAGAUCUUAUUUAUAUACAUAAAUGUAAAACAAGAUAGCAUACAGUCUAGUAUACAGUGCCAUGAAGUUAUUUCUUUGUUUAUGUUGCUAUAAAAAGAAAAAAAAAGUCUUUGAACAUUAAGCAUCAAUAAAAAAUAAACAAACAGGAUAGUAAAAAAAAGGUGAACCCUAGAGAAGUAAAGCAUUUUAAAUUCUCUUGUUAAAUAACUUCUAUCAAGAUAGAAAAGAGUGGUUAAGG
rnacentral:lncRNA from 1 species